UACGUAUGGACCGAGCGUUGUCCGGAAUCAUUGGGCGUAAAGGGUACGUAGGCGGCCCAGUAAGUUAGAAGUGAAAUAAUAUAGCUCAACUAUAUAAAGCUUUUAAAACUGCUAGGCUUGAGAGAUGGAAGGGAAAGUGGAAUUCCUAGUGUAGCGGUGAAAUGCGCAGAUAUUAGGAAGAAUACCGGUGGCGAAGGCGACUUUCUGGUCAUCAUCUGACGCUGAGGUACGAAGGCGUGGGUAGCAAACAGG
rnacentral:rRNA from 1 species